rnacentral:rRNA from 1 species
AUUGAACGCUGGCGGCAUGCCUUACACAUGCAAGUCGAACGGCAGCACGGGGCAACCUGGUGGCGAGUGGCGAACGGGUGAGUAAUGCAUCGGAACGUACCUUUCAGUGGGGGAUAACGUAGCGAAAGUUACGCUAAUACCGCAUAUUCUGUGAGCAGGAAAGCAGGGGAUCGCAAGACCUUGCGCUGAUUGAGCGGCCGAUGUCAGAUUAGCUAGUUGGUGAGGUAAAGGCCCACCAAGGCGACGAUCUGUAGCGGGUCUGAGAGGAUGAUCCGCCACACUGGAACUGAGACACGGUCCAGACUCCUACGGGAGGCAGCAGUGGGGAAUUUUGGACAAUGGGGGCAACCCUGAUCCAGCCAUGCCGCGUGAGUGAAGAAGGCCUUCGGGUUGUAAAGCUCUUUCGGCCGGGAAGAAAUCGCAUGGGCUAAUACCCUGUGUGGAUGACGGUACCGGAAUAAGAAGCACCGGCUAACUACGUGCCAGCCGCCGCAGUAACAC